UAUAAUAUAGUAUAUGAUUUACAUCAAUUUUUGGUAUUGAUAAAUUAAGUUUAAUUCUUAAUAUUAUAA
rnacentral:tRNA from 1 species